rnacentral:ncRNA from 1 species
UUUCCCUCAGGAUAGCUGGUGCAUUUGAAAUUGAUGUAAAAUAAUCUUAUCUGGUAAAGCGAAUGAUUAGAGGCCUUAGGGUCGAAACGAUCUUAACUUAUUCUCAAACUUUAAAUGGGUAAGAACCUCACCUUUCUUGGUAUGAAGGUUGUGGUUGUGAUAUAAUGUGCCCAGUGGGCCACUUUUGGUAAGCAGAACUGGCGCUGUGGGAUGAACCA